GAAAGAUUGUGGAAGAGAAGAGAGGGUGGAAGGAAUGGUACUAUGGUAGUGUUAGGUCUGCAUGUUUGUGCAUUGUUCUUCUAAGUUCCUAUCAGCGUCUUUCAAUUGCGUUUUUAGUUCAAAACUGAUAAGAUAAGAAGAAGAGGAAAAAAGUAACUAAAUCUUAAACUGCAAUCGUGGCCGUCCAUUCCGUUGACCAAGAAGGGGCCGUUUUCCGAAUAACAAAAACACACGAUUCGCGAUUGCCAUUGCCAUCGCCAGCGUAUAUACCAAAUCAAACAGCCGCAAACCCUUUCUUUGAUCUUCAGUGCCGAACAAGCCAUUGUUUGAGAUUUGAAACCCUAACAGAGCCACAUAGUUCAAUUGCGAUUGCGAUGAUCGUUCGGAGGUGAAACGACACGAUGAUGAACACAGCGAACGGCAUGAUGUCACCGUCGUCUUCAUCGGCAACUGCACAGUCGCCUGGUCUCAAGACUUAUUUCAAAACCCCCGAAGGUCGAUAUAAGCUUCAAUACGAGAAAACUCACCCUUCUGGUCUUCUUCAUUAUGCGCAUGGCAAAACCGUUACUCAGGUAACCCUGGCACAUCUCAAGGACAAGCCAGCGCCUUCGACCCCUACUGCGUCAUCUUCGAGUUUUAGUGCCAGCAGUGGGGUAAGGUCCGCAGCAGCCAGAUUGUUGGGAGGAAGCAAUGGAAGCCGGGCACUUAGUUUUGUUGGAGGCAAUGGUGGCAGCAAGAGCAAUGGUGGAAACAGUAGGAUUGGUUCCAUUGGUGCUUCAAGUUCAAGUAAUUUAAUGGCUAAUGCAAAUUUUGAUGGGAAAGGAACGUACUUGAUCUUCAAUGUUGGGGAUGCAAUUUUCAUUAGUGAUUUGAAUUCUCAAGACAAGGACCCCAUAAGGUCAAUUCACUUCAGUAAUUCGAAUCCUGUGUGCCACGCAUUUGAUCAGGAUGCUAAGGAUGGGCAUGAUUUGCUCAUUGGUUUGAACUCUGGUGAUGUCUACUCAGUGUCACUGAGACAGCAAUUACAGGAUGUUGGUAAAAAGCUUGUUGGGGCCCAGCACUACAACAAAGAUGGUUCUGUCAAUAACAGUCGUUGUACUUGUAUUGCUUGGGUGCCUGGAGGUGAUGGUGCUUUUGUUGUUUCUCAUGCUGAUGGGAAUUUGUACAUAUAUGAAAAGAACAAGGAUGGUGCCGGUGAUUCUUCAUUUCCAGUUAUCAAAGAUCAAACUCAAUUUUCUGUUUCACAUGCACGUUACAGUAAGAGUAAUCCAAUAGCCAGAUGGCAUAUAUGCCAGGGCUCAAUCAACAGUAUUUCUUUCUCGUUUGAUGGGGUAUACUUAGCAACUGUUGGACGUGAUGGUUAUUUGCGAGUGUUUGAUUACUCAAAAGAACAGCUUAUAUGUGGUGGCAAAAGUUAUUAUGGUGCUUUGUUGUGUUGUGCUUGGAGCAUGGAUGGAAAAUAUAUUUUGACGGGAGGGGAAGAUGAUUUAGUUCAAGUUUGGAGCAUGGAAGAUCGCAAGGUUGUGGCAUGGGGUGAGGGGCAUAAUUCGUGGGUAAGGUGCUUGAUAAUUGAGUUGUGGCAAAUUUUACUACCAUAGGACUGAUUUACUUUGUGUCAAAUGCUGUGAUCAGGUCAGUGGAGUUGCUUUCGAUUCAUAUUGGUCGUCACCAAAUUCAGAUGACAAUGGAGAGACCAUUAUGUAUCGUUUUGGUUCUGUUGGUCAGGCAUUACAUACAAUUUCAUCAGAAAAAGCUAUACAACGAAGAAACACCCUAAGUUGCAAUGAGUUUUUUCGACAAUGAGUUUCUUCCACUUUACUGUAAAAUUUGCAAAGCUACUCACAUGUGUUGCUGGAGUAGCAAUGUUAUUGUUCCCUCCAUGCUCACACUCAAGAUUUGACUGAGCAAUUGGGGUUACAGGUAAGGAUGAUAUCUUCUUCCCUCUAGGUGAUAAUGUCCUUGAAUUCAUAGGCUUUUGCAGCGGCUCUGGGAGUGAACUUUCAAGUGCUAGGAUGGAAGACUUUUCAAUAUCUGAACUAAUGUUGCAAAAUUUUAAACUGAGCUUGUGUAUUACAGUUUUAGUAUUUGAGUUGUUUUUCAUUGAAGAGGGACCUUGGAACUUUCGUUUCUAGGAGUUGGAGUUGGAGAGUUGUUGGUCCUCAAAUAAUCCUCUCUUGCUUCAUCCAGUGUUCUUGUGGGUAUCUCCAAGAUAAGGUUUUUCUUUCUCCCAUGUUGUCUGCUUGGGAGUUCCUCCGUUAUUUCGGAUGGUUCUACAAUCUAUACAUGAAGAAGCCAAAAUAGACUUUCAUAAAAAUAGAGGAGAAACUUCAAACACCAAACUAGAAACAGUGGAGAUGAUGAUCAUUGAUCAGUGUAUAAAGGUAUGAACUGAGAAAUGGAUAAGACUCGUGAUUUCUAGUCAAGAAACCAAUGUUGACACUGAUAAGAUGAAGAAAAUGUUAACUUGAGUAAGAAAACAAGGAAAACCAAAAGUAGGCAACAAAAGGAAGUGGAGAUUAGAACAUAAUAUUAAGGUUGUACCUUUUUAAUUGGGUUAUGAGAACAACUCGCAGUGCCUUGGUCAUUAAUCUUGUGAAAGCUUUGUGCUUCUUCAUUUGCCAUAUAUUAAGGUAUUCAGCAGAAAACCCACAGCGAGAAAAACACGACAAGUUUGAGCUGUGAGUAAUUUGCAGGCAACAAAGGUGAAAUCUUGCAGCGAUCAUGGGAGCUGGAAAGAUGCAAAAAGGGAAUUUAGGAAAGAAAGGAGACAAGUGGCAUCAAAGCUUCAAGUAGACAUAUUUCAACUUUUCUGGUCUCUUAAGGUUGUGUGGCACACGAAGUAAAAAGUUAAAAAGUGAGACUGCUACUUAGGUGUCUAUUUUAUAUUUGUGGUGUAAUAUACAUAAAUGAAAUUUAUUAUUAUAUGCUUACUAAUUUUUUCAAUGUAAUAUUUCUAUAAGUU